AAAGUGCGAUAAGCAAUGCGAAUUGCAGAAUUCCGCGAAUCAUCAGAUCCUUGAACGCAACUGGCGCUGAGAGGAUAUCCUUUCAGCAUGCCUGUUUCAGUGUCUGAAAACAUCACAAACAUUCAUCAUAAUGUGUACUUGACAAAGGAGAGUAAAUUACUCCCAAGUCUUACAUGAAAGAUGUAUGUGCGGGUCUUUGUGCCCUCAAAAUCGAAUUGGUCACUGACUCUUCAGUGAUUUCGAUUUAUUCGAGGGGGGAAGCUACUUAAAAAUAGCUUUUUUAAACAAUUACCUGUAGGCACAUAGUGUAAACACUCUACACAAUUCAUCUCUGCAUCUGAAAUCAGGCAAGAACACCUGCUGAACUUAAGC
rnacentral:misc_RNA from 1 species